ensembl:lncRNA
ACCUCUAGAUUGGGUAAACCAUGGGUAAGAAUGUCUUGCAGUGUUUUCCUUGGUACAAACGCUGUAAAGACCGGGGUAAAAGCAGGCUGUGCCCUCCUCCGCCUGUGCCAUCUGUUGAGGUGCAACCUAGCUUCUCUCCGACAGUCUCCUGGGGUCAUGACGGAGAGGAAAGCGCUGCACGUCCCGUCUAUUUUUCCCAUAAAGCGCGAGUAGUUUAUCGCCACCAGAUGGAUGGCAAUAUUAUCGACGCCACCUGCUGACCUCUGGGCUUCUUUCCCAGAAUCCCUUGCCUUGUACCUGUGGCUGUAGACGUCCAGUGUAGAGGAGCGUCGAAGGAGACUACUAGACUGUUCCAUCCUGUGUAAUUAAACUAAAUCUUUUGCAUUUAGUAAAGAUGUCACAGGUUUUCCUCUGGUUCCCCCAUCCUCUCACCAUACCUGGCAUUCACCUGUCUUUACUUACUGUGUUGAAAUAUAAUAUAAUCUUUCAAGGCAGACAGAGUGAUGUAGGCCACAUGGAAUGGAAAAAAAAGAACUGAGCUGGAUUUUAUAACUACAAAUGUAAUAUGUGUUUUGUCAUGCAAAUAUGAUCCUGGAUGUAUGAUUGCCCAUUGCUUUUCAGAGGACAAACCAUGACUGGUUUUUCAGAGGUUCAUGAAUGCAUUUCAGGCAAAAGAUAAAAUUUUGUACUAAUCACUGGAAUUAUAAUAUAAAAUUUAUGUACAUUUAGUAAUUGUUUCUUAUUCUCUGGUUAUGUCAAAAGAAGUUUAAGUAUUGAAUAAAAUUGUUUAAAUAUAUAAACA